rnacentral:rRNA from 1 species
UGCAAGUCGAGCGGUAAGGCUCCUUCGGGAGUACACGAGCGGCGAACGGGUGAGUAACACGUGAGCAAUCUGCCCUUCACGCUGGGAUACCCCCCGGAAACGGGAGCUAAUACCGGAUACGACCACUUCGGGCAUCCGAUGGUGGUGGAAAGUUCCGGCGGUGAAGGAUGAGCUCGCGGCCUAUCAGCUUGUUGGUGAGGUAAUGGCUCACCAAGGCUUCGACGGGUAGCCGGCCUGAGAGGGUGACCGGCCACACUGGGACUGAGACACGGCCCAGACUCCUACGGGAGGCAGCAGUGGGGAAUAUUGGACAAUGGGCGAAAGCCUGAUCCAGCAACGCCGCGUGAGGGAUGACGGCCUUCGGGUUGUAAACCUCUUUCAGCAGGGACGAAGCGAAAGUGACGGUACCUGCAGAAGAAGCACCGGCCAACUACGUGCCAGCAGCCGCGGUAAUACGUAGGGUGCGAGCGUUGUCCGGAAUUAUUGGGCGUAAAGGGCUCGUAGGCGGUCUGUUGCGUCGGGAGUGAAAACUCAGGGCUUAACCCUGAGCCUGCUUCCGAUACGGGCAGACUAGAGGUAUGCAGGGGAGAACGGAAUUCCUGGUGUAGCGGUGAAAUGCGCAGAUAUCAGGAGGA